rnacentral:rRNA from 1 species
GACGAACGCUGGCGGCGUGCUUAACACAUGCAAGUCGAACGGGCCUGCCUGGCUUUGGUUGGGUGGGUGAGUGGCGAACGGGUGAGUAACACGUGAGUAACCUGCCCUCUUCUCUUGGAUAACUGCUUGAAAGGGCGGCUAAUACGGGAUGUUCUGGCUGCCUCGCAUGGGGUGGUUUGGAAAGAUUCGGCCUGGUUUUGGCUGUUUUGGUGGGGGAUGGGCUCGCGGCUUAUCAGCUUGUUGGUGGGGUGAUGGCCUACCAAGGCGGUGACGGGUAGCCGGCCUGAGAGGGUGGACGGUCACACUGGGACUGAGACACGGCCCAGACUCCUCGGGAGGCAGCAGUGGGGGAUUUUGCACAAUGGGCGCAAGCCUGAUGCAGCGACGCCGCGUGAGGGAUGGAGGCCUUCGGGUUGUGAACCUCUGUCGCCGGUGAUGUAGGCUCUGCU